UACUAGACCUUUCUAUAUUCUACCUUCAGCCUCAUACCCCAACCCUCUACUGAGCCUGGAGUCCUUGAGACUGAAGUCUGUCAGUGUUGUUAUUUCCAGAAACAUCACACUGUUUCAAUAGGGUUGAUAAAGAUAUCAUAGGGGCAUGGAUUGGGACCUUUCUUCUGGGGACAAUGACUGAUGUAAUCUGACAUAUAUCAAGAUGUAUUGGAGCAAAGGAAGAGAAAUGGGCCACCAAGGAGGACAAAUUGGGCAUACAGAUUUUUGAAGCAAAGAAAUUUAUAGAGAAAUCAACAAGUUGUCAAUGUCAAAUAAACUCUGAAUUUAAAAAAAAUUAUUGUUAAUGUGAGCAGUGUGUAACUGAGAAGU